UACGGGGGGAGCAAGCGUUGUUCGGAUUUACUGGGCGUAAAGGGCGCGUAGGCGAUCAGCACAAGUCAGUUGUGAAAUCUCCGGGCUUAACUCGGAAAGGUCAACUGAUACUGUGCGACUAGAGUGCGGAAGGGGCAACUGGAAUUCUCGGUGUAGCGGUGAAAUGCGUAGAUAUCGAGAGGAACACCUGCGGCGAAGGCGGGUUGCUGGGCCGGUACUGACGCUGAGGCGCGAAAGCGUGGGGAGCAAACAGG
rnacentral:rRNA from 1 species